rnacentral:rRNA from 1 species
UAGGGAAUCUUCGGCAAUGGACGAAAGUCUGACCGAGCAACGCCGCGUGAGUGAAGAAGGUUUUCGGAUCGUAAAACUCUGUUGUUAGAGAAGAACAAGGACGUUAGUAACUGAACGUCCCCUGACGGUAUCUAACCAGAAAGCCACGGCUAACUACGUGCCAGCAGCCGCGGUAAUACGUAGGUGGCAAGCGUUGUCCGGAUUUAUUGGGCGUAAUGCGAGCGCAGGCGGUUUCUUAAGUCUGAUGUGAAAGCCCCCGGCUCAACCGGGGAGGGUCAUUGGAAUCAGGGAGACUUGAGUGCAGAAGAGGAGAGUGGAAUUCCAUGUGUAGCGGUGAAAUGCGUAGAUAUAUGGAGGAACACCAGUGGCGAAGGCGGCUCUCUGGUCUGUAACUGACGCUGAGGCUCGAAAGCGUGGGGAGCAAACAGG